rnacentral:rRNA from 1 species
GGUGAUCUACCCAUGUCCAGGAUGAAGGUAAGGUAAUACUUACUGGAGGUCCGAACCCACGCACGUUGAAAAGUGCGGGGAUGAGGUGUGGGUAGCGGAGAAAUUCCAAUCGAACUUGGAGAUAGCUGGUUCUCUCCGAAAUAGCUUUAGGGCUAGCCUCGAGGUAAAGAGUCAUGGAGGUAGAGCACUGUUUGGACUAGGGGCCCUUCUCGGGUUACCGAAUUCAGAUAAACUCCGAAUGCCAUGUACUUAUACUCGGGAGUCAGACUGCGAGUGAUAAGAUCCGUAGUCGAAAGGGAAACAGCCCAGACCACCAGUUAAGGUCCCCAAAUAUAUGUUAAGUGGAAAAGGAUGUGGGGUUGCUUAGACAACCAGGAUGUUGGCUUAGAAGCAGCCACCAUUGAAAGAGUGCGUAAUAGCUCACUGGUCGAGUGACCCCGCGCCGAAAAUGUACCGGGGCUAAACAUAUUACCGAAACUGUGGAUGAACCUCUUUAGAGGUUCGUGGUAGGAGAGCGUUCUAAGGGCGGUGAAGUCAGACCGGAAGGACUGGUGGAGCGCUUAGAAGUGAGAAUGCCGGUAUGAGUAGCGAAAGAAGGGUGAGAAUCCCUUCCACCGAAUAUCUAAGGUUUCCUGAGGAAGGCUCGUCCGCUCAGGGUUAGUCGGGACCUAAGCCGAGGCCGAUAGGCGUAGGCGAUGGACAACAGGUAGAGAUUCCUGUACCAGUGCUAAUUGUUUAACCGAUGGGGUGACACAGAAGGAUAGGGAAUCGCACGAAUGGAAAUGUGCGUCCAAGCAGUGAGUGUGAGAAGUAGGCAAAUCCGCUUCUCGCGAAGCAUGAGCUGUGAUGGGGAAGGAAAUUAAGUACGGAAGUUCCUGAUUUCACGCUGUCAAGAAAAGCCUCUAGGAAGAGUAGUACUGCCCGUACCGCAAACCGACACAGGUAGAUGAGGAGAGAAUCCUAAGGUGAGCGAGAGAACUCUCGUUAA